GUUAGACUGCCCGCAGCGCUGGUCAUCACCUGUGCAGGACUGAGAAACGGUGCUCAGCAGUUCAUGGAAAACUCAUUUCGUCGGCGCCGAUAUACCAAUGGCCCAAUGUACCAUGGCAGUUCCAAGAGGUGAGCACAGCACAGCGGACGCCAGCACACCGGGGAGCCCACUUGGCCAUGGGGCUGGAGGGACCACCUGGAAGACAACAGACUGCUCCAGCUCCUGUCUCAGUUCCUUCUACCACCUUCUGCUGGAGGAGGAGCCAAAUUUUAUUAUGGAAUGGGGAAGGGCCAAGGGGACAGGCAGCAAAGGAUACAGUGGCUGGUGCAGCAUCUUUUCUCCACCUUCUCAGUGGCCUGGGUCGAACAUCUGUGCUGAAAGUUCUCCCAAAGACCCAGCUGUUUCGUUUGGUUGGCUUACCUUGACCGUUAUAAAUCUAGCUUAGCAUCUGUUCAAUAAAAUAUGUCCCGUCAUACUGCCGUCA
rnacentral:lncRNA from 1 species